AGAGUUUGAUCAUGGCUCAGGACGAACGCUGGCGGCGUGCCUAACACAUGCAAGUCGAGCGGGAACCUCGGGAGGGGUAACCCUUCUGAGGGGAGAGCGGCGAACGGGUGAGUAACACGUGGGCAACCUGCCCCGGACACCGGGAUAACCCAGGGAAACCUGAGCUAAUACCGGAUACUCCGGCGUGAUCGCAUGGUCGCGUCGGGAAAGCUCCGACGGUCCGGGAUGGGCCCGCGGCCUAUCAGCUUGUUGGUGGGGUAACGGCCCACCAAGGCGACGACGGGUAGCUGGUCUGAGAGGACGGCCAGCCACACUGGGACUGAGACACGGCCCAGACUCCUACGGGAGGCAGCAGUGGGGGAUCUUGCGCUAAUGCGCGAAAGCGUGACGCAGCGACGCCGCGUGGGGGAUGAAGGCCUUCGGGUUGUAAACCCCUUUCGGCAGGGACGAAGGGAAACUGACGGUACCUGCAGAAGAAGUCCCGGCUAACUACGUGCCAGCAGCCGCGGUA
rnacentral:rRNA from 1 species